AGCGAACGCUGGCGGCAGGCUUAACACAUGCAAGUCGAGCGGGCACUUCGGUGUCAGCGGCAGACGGGUGAGUAACACGUGGGAACGUACCCUUUGGUUCGGAAUAACGCUGGGAAACUAGCGCUAAUACCGGAUACGCCCUUUUGGGGAAAGGCUUGCCGCCGAAGGAUCGGCCCGCGUCUGAUUAGCUAGUUGGUGGGGUAAUGGCCUACCAAGGCGACGAUCAGUAGCUGGUCUGAGAGGAUGAUCAGCCACACUGGGACUGAGACACGGCCCAGACUCCUACGGGAGGCAGCAGUGGGGAAUAUUGGACAAUGGGCGCAAGCCUGAUCCAGCCAUGCCGCGUGAGUGAUGAAGGCCUUAGGGUUGUAAAGCUCUUUUGUCCGGGACGAUAAUGACGGUACCGGAAGAAUAAGCCCCGGCUAACUUCGUG
rnacentral:rRNA from 1 species